rnacentral:ncRNA from 1 species
UCAACAACGAUGACGAAGAGAUGCCUUGGACGGGAAACCCUCAGAGAGCCGAUGGUCGCUGCGAAUCGGUGGUUCCCUCCAAGGAUGAGCACUUCCGAGUUGUUGCGCUGAACCGAUGUCCCGGGCAUCCAGUAGGCGCGAACGGUUGAUCCGUUAUCUCUCAGGUCCCGUACCUGGCAAGGUUCUUCUUUGCGAAAAGAAGAACGAAUGAGGGUGGCACCGCGAAGCAAGCCUCUCGUCCCUCAC